rnacentral:lncRNA from 1 species
UACUCUAAGCAGUUCGCAGGGAGCAUCUUUCAGCAGCUGAAACAGCUUUGCGGCCUUGCUGUAAUGAAGAUCUGCCAGCACCCGGUGUUGUUUCCUAAGGUGUUCAUCACCAACCUAGAACCAAACCAAAACAAGCAACAAAUCCUUCACGAGAAAGAAAGAAAACAACUGUGUAAGCAGACAUCAGUGUAAACCUUAGCACUGUCUCUUGAUGAGAUAAGAGGAGGAUGGCAGUGACAGGAGUGUGGUGGCGAGCCAGUCACCUGCAGUCAACCACGGCUCAUUGCUCUCACCAUGCCUGUUACAUGAAGAAUUAGCAUUUAAGUACUAACCUGACUGGAAGCACUGGGAUCUUCAGAAACUGAAGAAGGCAUUUCGAAGGGAGCAGGCCAUGAAGCCCCUUCCGAAUCAUUUGUCUGAUCUGAACUGGACGAUUCCUGCUGUUCUGCGGUGGAUGAGACAGGCUGAGCGGCUCCAUCACCAUUGAUACUGGCCAAACCAGAAAUAAAAAAGGAUUGCUGUUACUAAAGUUAA